UACGUAGGGCGCAAGCGUUAUCCGGAAUUAUUGGGCGUAAAGAGCUCGUAGGCGGUUUGUCGCGUCUGCCGUGAAAGUCCGGGGCUCAACUCCGGAUCUGCGGUGGGUACGGGCAGACUAGAGUGAUGUAGGGGAGACUGGAAUUCCUGGUGUAGCGGUGAAAUGCGCAGAUAUCAGGAGGAACACCGGUGGCGAGGGCGGGUCUCUGGGCCGAUACUGACGCUGAGGAGCGAAAGCGUGGGGAGCGAACAGG
rnacentral:rRNA from 1 species